UUUUUUUUUUUCAAUAUGUCAACCUUCACAUCAAAACAAAUUUAUCUUUGUAGAAGUGGAGGUAGAUCUAGUCUAGACUUUAGAUAGAUCUAGAUCUAUGUCUAAAUCUAGAUUAGAUUCAAGUUAGAAAAAUUUAAUAUUAAAAAAAAUUGGAAAUUCUGCGACUAGAUAGUAGUGUGCGGCGGUAUCACGAAAUUAAGCUUAGUAGCACAUUUGAAUUAGUAAAACAAAUAUUCAAUAUUGAAAUAGUUAUGAGUUAUGGAUAACUGAACUUACUUGUCAAGUUCAAUGAAGUUGGUGAUGGUUUCAUCUUGAUCCGAGAUUGGGUGUGGAAGAAAUGUGUACAAACAUUUUACCAGACAGACAGUGAAAUUUGCCCUUUCAGAAAUGUUUGUCUAGAGAGAGCAGAUGAUGUAAAGGUUAUUUGUUUCUGAGGCCUACAGGGCACUACAGCCAGUACAGGGUGUCAUCUGGCCAGCACAACGACCAACCGCUUCUACUUUUCCCCAACUUACGUCAGGUACCCAUUAGAGCUGGGUGGACUCCGAGGCGCCCAAAGAUCCCGAAAUUAAAAAUCCCAGUCUUCACCAGGAUUCAAACCUGGACCUCCCAGUUUGGAAGCCAAGCACUUUACCGCUCAGCCACCGCACCUCCCAGACUAAUGACCAUGAUGCACUAGUUAGCAAAAUGAGCUGUUCUUCAAAGUCUAAAGCAAAAGUGACUAAAAGUGCCUAGUGACCUACCAUCACCAACUUGAGAAGUAAGUUUAGCUAUCCAUAACUAUUUGUUUUACUAAUUCAAAUGUGCUACUAAGCUUAAUUUAAUUAUGGCCAUUCAGAUGUACAAAGACCUGGAUUUCUUCUAUCGUGUGGGUGUAGGUCAAAGACAAGUGAUAAUCAGUUGAAAGAGUGCCUUUCUGUUUUCAUAACCAAAUAGCAUUAUAGAAUUGCAAUGUUACAAAUAUUUAAAUUUCUUUACCCUACAUAAUAAAAAGUAAAGUAAAGUUCCCCUUUCAGACCUUGUGGUCUAUAGGGCAGAAGAUGUAAAGGUCAUGUGAUUCUGUAACCAACUGUUAACGAGUGUGUCAUGCGGCCAGCACAAUGACCAACCGCCUUUACUUUUCCCCAACUAACAUCAGGUACCCAUUAGAGCUGGUGGACUCAGAGACGCCCAAAGAUCCCGAAAUUAAAAAUCUGUCUUCAGCAGGAUUCGAACCCAGGACCCCUAGUUCAGAAGUCAAGCGCUUUACCGCUCAGCCACCGUGCCUUCACUCUACAUAAUACCGUACUUUACAUAAAGACUUAAAUAGGGCAAUAAUAAUAAAAGCUCACUGUUUUCUACAAAACAUUCAUCUCUGAUUUAAAAAUAGCCCUUCUUAGUUGAACUAUUGAGAAUGUUAACCUAUUUAAGAAAUAAGAAAGGAUGUCUUAUGAAAGAUGUUAGGAUAGUUUGUGGCAAUGGGUUAGGUGUAAUAUAGCUAAUUAUUUUCAUUAUGUCCAAUAGGACAAGUUUUGUAGACCAUCCCUUAUGAUGACCAAAAAAAAAAAAGCUGUUGUUUGGAAAAUGCCAUGGAAGUCUUUAUAUAUGUUAAUUUGAAUAUAUCCAGAAAGGAUUUAACAGAAUUCAUACAGAAACUUUAUAUUGCAUUUAAUGUUUCUGAGAUGGUUUCAACAACUUUAUUUAAUUAGACUGCCAUCAAUAUCAUUUUGAGAGACAUUGUUUUAUGUGACUGCGAAAUACAUCUCAAAUUGUAUAGUAGAUAUCCUUUAGGUUGUUGUUAGUCACAGUAAUUAUUAAAUAUAACUUUGUAUAACAUUUUUUUAAAAGUUUUUAAUAAAAUAAAUAAAAAAUUUGACUUUAGACAUUUAUUAUCAAUGAAUCAUAUAAACAAAAAGUUGUUCAUGUAUUGCAACCAUAAUGAUUCACAUUCGCUCAUGCUCACUUAGGUGUGUGUUGACAGUCUUAUCACAAGGCCCAACUGAAUAAAUAUGUUGAGUAGCUUAUCAUUCAAUUCAAAGAACAUAGAAAAGUAUAAUAUUUCAAACCAUAUGUCAUACAAUGACAUCUCUAGUCUGUGUAAAUUGAACUACCAUAAAGCCUGUUAACAAUGAGGGGAAAAAACAAUGAAAAAAUAUAGCAUAAGCAGCCUUGACAAAUUAAUAAUACAGGAUACAUUGUAACAAUUACAAUAUCAUAUACAUUUGUGUUUGGACUGAGCUUUAAAAAAUACAUUAACUUUGUUAGAACUGGUUUUAGUGCUUUCGCAAUAGUUGCCUUCAGAAAUCCUCUAGAAAUAAAUAUGUAGUGGUUCAUUGACAUAAGCCUGGAAUGCUACUUGAUAUAAUUUGAUGGCAUUUAAAACCAACACCUCAACAACAUAUUUAAAAAAAAAAAAACUUCCAGAAGAUUUUAUGUACUAAAAUUUAUUAAAAAAUUGUUAAGAACCAACUUAACAGAUUUCAUGUACUAAAAUUUAUCACAACUUAUUAAGAACCAACCUAACAAUUAUAACUAACUAUGUGUGCUUCUUCAUUCUCUUUCUUCUUUUUCGUUCUCACUAUAUGUGCUGUAUGGCUUAUAUUUAUAUAAUAAUAUGUAUAUCAAUUAAUAUACAAAAAAUUGACUAUAACACCUUACAUGAUGUGUUAACAAUUAGAUAUCAGUGAUAACUACAAGAGAGCUAGUCUAGUAGCAUUUUCUUUAGCCCAACACAAUGAAGUCAAGGUGAUCAUGGCAAUAAUAUAUAUUCAACCCACAAAUACAAAUGAAAGCUCUUGACUUAAAACACACAUACUUUCACACAUUAAACCAUGCAGAACUUCAAUCAACUAAAUUGCAACACUUAUUCUUCUGUUACAAGAAUCAACACUUGGUCAAGAAGAUAGGAAGAAUAAUUAUCUUGAGACAUAAACAGAACAAAAGACUUUAAAAUGAAAAAAAAAAUAUUAAAAGGGCAUAAUGUAAACAGGACCAGCAUCUUCUGUAGAUUAAGAAACAUUGAUAUUUAUAUAUUAACAUAGUUAACAUUUAUCAAGAGUUCCUUCAACUGACUUUAGUACCACUGGUCAUCAAUGAAUAUCACCAUGUCCUGGUUUCUGACUUUACAGCAAAACUGUUUUCAGUUGUAACCUUAAUUAUGUUACACAAAAAAAAAAAAAAAAACCCAAAAAAACUCCAAAACGGUUUUAAUUUGUUUAGUACUAGCAUCACAGUGACAGUGUGUUGUACUCACAUAUAACUUGGAACACAAUAACUUAAAUAAAACAAUAUAAUUGAAAUGUAAAAAAAAAAAGAACUCUAAUACAAAGUCAAACAAUCUCUAUAAAGUACCAAGCCAUUACAGGAUGCACUAAAAAGGUUCAGAUUUGUUACAUGUACAAAGUUUAUUCAUUUAGUUUUCAUGGUGCUUUUUUUU